rnacentral:rRNA from 1 species
CUAACACAUGCAAGUCGAGCGGUAGAGAGAAGCUUGCUUCUCUUGAGAGCGGCGGACGGGUGAGUAAUGCCUAGGAAUCUGCCUGGUAGUGGGGGAUAACGUUCGGAAACGGACGCUAAUACCGCAUACGUCCUACGGGAGAAAGCAGGGGACCUUCGGGCCUUGCGCUAUCAGAUGAGCCUAGGUCGGAUUAGCUAGUUGGUGAGGUAAUGGCUCACCAAGGCGACGAUCCGUAACUGGUCUGAGAGGAUGAUCAGUCACACUGGAACUGAGACACGGUCCAGACUCCUACGGGAGGCAGCAGUGGGGAAUAUUGGACAAUGGGCGAAAGCCUGAUCCAGCCAUGCCGCGUGUGUGAAGAAGGUCUUCGGAUUGUAAAGCACUUUAAGUUGGGAGGAAGGGCCAUUACCUAAUACGUGAUGGUUUUGACGUUACCGACAGAAUAAGCACCGGCUAACUCUGUGCCAGCAGCCGCGGUAAUACAGAGGGUGCAAGCGUUAAUCGGAAUUACUGGGCGUAAAGCGCGCGUAGGUGGUUUGUUAAGUUGGAUGUGAAAUCCCCGGGCUCAACCUGGGAACUGCAUUCAAAACUGACUGACUAGAGUAUGGUAGAGGGUGGUGG